rnacentral:rRNA from 1 species
GACGAACGCUGGCGGCGUGCCUAAUACAUGCAAGUCGAACGCAGUUGCGAACGGGUGAGUAACGCGUAGGUAACUCCCUCAUGGCGGGGGAUAACAAUUGGAAACGAUAGCUAAUACCGCAAACUGUCAGAUGGACCUGCGUUGUGUUUGCUAGUUGGUGAGGUAAAUGCUCACCAAGGCGACGUUACAUAGCCGAGCUGAGAGGGUGGUCGGGCAACAUGGGCAUGGGACACCGCCCAGACUCCUUCGGGAGGCCGCCGUAGGGAAACUUGGGCAAAGGACGGAAGUCUGACCGGGGAACGGCGCGGUAGUGGAGAAGGUUUUCGGAUCGUUAAGCUCUGUUGUUCGAGAAGCGGUAACUAACCAGAAAGCGACGGCUAACUACGUGCCAGCAGCCGCGGUAAUAC